GCCCUCGUGGUGUAGUGGUCAGCACGCUCGGCGCGUAUUCGAGAGGUCCGUGGUUCGAGUCCCGGCGAGGGCG
rnacentral:tRNA from 1 species